GCAAGUCGAGCGAGAAAGGGGGGGCAACUCCCUGAGUAAAGCGGCGCACGGGUGAGUAACACGUGGGUAAUCUGCCCUGGAGUGGGGAAUAACACCGGGAAACCGGUGCUAAUACCGCAUACGAUACCGAGGUCUGCGGACUUUGGUAUGAAAGGAGCAAUUCGCUCUAGGAGGAGCCCGCGGCUGAUUAGCUAGUUGGCGAGGUAAUGGCUCACCAAGGCUUCGAUCAGUAUCCGGUCUGAGAGGACGGUCGGACACACUGGAACUGAGACACGGUCCAGACUCCUACGGGAGGCAGCAGUGGGGAAUUUUUGGCAAUGGGGGAAACCCUGACCAAGCAACGCCGCGUGGGUGAUGAAGUAUCUCGGUACGUAAAACCCUUUCGACGGGGAAGAAAGGCCGCAAGGCUUUGACGGUACCCGUAGAAGAAGCCCCGGCUAACUCCGUGCCAGCAGCCGCGGUAAUACGGGGGGGGCAAGCGUUGUUCGGAAUUACUGGGCGUAAAGGGUGCGUAGGCGGUUCGCUAAGUUGGAUGUGAAAACUCUGGGCUCAACCCAGAGCCUGCAUCCAAUACUGACGAGCUAGAGUUCUGGAGGGGAUAGCGGAAUUCCUGGUGUAGCGGUGAAAUGCGUAGAUAUCAGGAGGAACACCGGUGGCGAAGGCGGCUAUCUGGACAGAGUCUGACGCUGAGGCACGAAAGCUAGGGGAGCAAACAGGAUUAGAUACCCUGGUAGUCCUAGCCCUAAACGAUGGAUACUUGCUGUAGCUGG
rnacentral:rRNA from 1 species